UAAAUAUCUCAUAUAGAGAAAAAGGAAAGAAGUGUGGAGGGUCAUGAGAGAAAGAGGAACACAAACGAUCUUAAGUUUGGUUCAGUGAAUGCAAUGUUGGAUUGAAAUGUGGGCUGAAAAAUAAAGUAGCUAUUGACUUACUGCAUAGCCUUUAGCAAGUCCCUCGCCUCUCAACUUCAGCUACACAUAUAUAAACAAAAACAUGAAUUACCUAUGUCUUUAUAAAAUAAAUUAGGUCACUUUGCUAAUGAAAGAUGCCCAAGACACCAUACAAAAAUAAGCCACCUCACAGGAUUGCAGUAGAGAUAAAUUAGAAGGGUUUGCACAAGUAACAAGCAGAAUCCUUUAUCAGCAUACAAGUCUUCAUAUGAAAGACAACACAAUUAAAGCAAUAUAUAUAUACACACUUAUGGCUUUGUACAAAGGAUUAUUUUAUGUUUUUCCAAACAUCAGGCACUCCCCACCCCCUACAAAUAUCCAAACGAAAUUCUGCAGCAUAUAGCAGUGAGAAUCCUCCAUGUUCUUACAAUUCACACAAACAGCAUGCAAAGUAUUUUCAUGUCAGCAGUGCUGCUUAUGUAGAAAGUGGGGGAGAAGAGAACGAGGCAGAUGCCCCUCUAUAACAAAAGUCCCGUUUUAAUGCAGAGUUACAUAUUUAUUUAUUUUUUGCUUGCAUGAACCACAGUAUUACUUUUAGUAAUUAUAAAAUACAAAAGAAAAAUUACCUUACUUAAAAAUUAAUUUUAAAUUAACAAGCCUGGACAUUUCAUAAUGCGAACUGAAAAUAUUUUAACAAAAUAACACCAAUCCAGUUAUUGAUCAAGUGCAAACUUAAGGUUGCAAUCCUCACACACGCCGCCAUGGAAGUAAGUCCCAAAGAAGUACCUCCAAGCGGAUUUGUGCAGAACUGUGCUGUAAGACUGUAAAAGAACUGGUCCACUUUAAUCCUCUUUUCUCCUUUUCCUUAGGGAUGCUCUGUUGAACUGUCAGCAUUCAAGAAUACAUCUGAUUACCAUUUUAGUCAACUUUUGUCAGUUUAUCUAAGCCGAGGUCUCAGUAAUGCAGCUCUACCUCUGCUUUUGGCAAACUUGCUGCUGUUGUCCAUGGAUGCAGCCCUUCUCCUGGGCGACUUGCCACUUUUGCCUCCUUCUGGAUUGAGAAUCCACCAAGAGCUUUUUCCUGUUCCUUCAUUCUGUACUCUGAUAAACUUGCUAUGCAGUGAGAGGUUGUGACGAAUUGAAUUCUGGGAAGGAGAAAAAAGUUGCAAGAAAAAAGGCAGCGUGUACCAUGAAACCACCGAGUGAAGAAUAGAGAAAGAAGAAGUAAUACAGGAAGAACAUAAAGGCACAUCCUUGCAAUAUAAAAGGAAAUGCUGAAAAGCAAGGCAGCUGUACAACAAGGGCAACACAUCCUGCAAAACAAGCAUGGAAGCAGCUUCCCAUGAGAAAUAGGGUGAAGACCUCACAGUGCCUCUAAACUGGGAGUCCAAGACACAAGAGCAUUGAUGGCAAAAACCACGGACUGCGUAUACCUCAGCAAAAAGCACCUGCGUUAAGCAGCAACUGUAUCCCAAAGGAACAGCCGUUGAAUCAAAGAUUUAACUACCACUGAAAAAUAG